GCACAAAAGGCGGUGGAAGGCGUAAACUUUUAUUGAACGAAAACGUUUUCAGUACAGGUCGUGCCAUCUUCGGUCUUGUAGUCGAGCGGAGCAGAAGGGCACGGUUGCAUCGGUGGGGGAACAAUUUUCAAAAAAUUACAGGUGCCAGGUCACGGCAAAGUGGUUAAAUGUACAAAUCCAAAUUAAAAACAAGCUAAAUAAACAUGUAAGAAAAUAUAAUAAAGGUCAUAAAAUAAAAUAAAAGUAUCGAGAAAGGCCGAAGGGCAAGUUAUGUCGGCCGUCUACGAAGGGAAUGUACCACGUCAUAUGUUCUUGCGUACAGCGUACUUCCAGGCCGUACUAAGCGUGUCAGCUUGUCUAAUAUUAAUGACAUUUUGUCCCCGGCUAGCUUUCAGAAUUUCUAGUUUUUCCGCUGUGGGAAGGGCCGUGCGGUCUGAGAUGUUUUUUACGACUUUUGCGUUUUGCCAAGAAA
rnacentral:lncRNA from 1 species